CCUACGGGUGGCAGCAGUGAGGAAUAUUGGUCAAUGGGCGCGAGCCUGAUCCAGCCACGUAGCGUGAAGGAUGACGGCCCUACGGGUUGUAAGCUUCUUUUAUAGAGGAAUAAAGUGCGGCACGUGUGCCUUUUUGUCUGUACUUUAUGAAUAAGGAUCGGCUAACUCCGUGCCAGCAGCCGCGAUAAUACGGAGGAUCCGAGCGUUAUCCGGAUUUAUUGGGUUUAAAGGGGGAGUAGAUGGGGUGUUAAGCCAGUGGUGAAAGUUUGCGGCUCAACCGUAAAAUUGCAAUUGAUACUGGCAGGCUGGAGUACAGUUGAGGUAGGCGGAAUUCGUGGUGUAGCGGUGAAAUGCUUAGAUAUCACGAAGAACUCCGAUUGCGAAGGCAGCUUACUAAACUGCCACUGACAUUGAUGCUCGAAAGUGUGGGUAUCAAACAGGAUUAGAUACCCCAGUAGUC
rnacentral:rRNA from 1 species